CUGCCCGUAGCAGGGGGAUAAGCGGAAGAAAUUCCGUCUAAUCCCGCGUAAUAACUCCGAGAGGCAUCUCAUGGAGUUUAAAGGGUAACACCGGCUACGGAUGGCCAUGCGGCGCAUUAGCUAGUUGGCGGGGUAACGGCCCACCAAGGCGACGAUGCGUAGGGGUUCUGAGAGGAAGGUCCCCCACACUGGUACUGAGACACGGACCAGACUCCUACGGGAGGCAGCAGUGAGGAAUAUUGGUCAAUGGGCGCGAGCCUGAACCAGCCAAGUCGCGUGAGGGAAGACGGUCCUAUGGAUUGUAAACCUCUUUUGUCGGGGAGCAAGAGACGCCACGCGUGGCGUUCCGAGAGUACCCGAAGAAAAAGCAUCGGCUAACUCCGUGCCAGCAGCCGCGGUAAUACGGAGGAUGCGAGCGUUAUCCGGAUUUAUUGGGUUUAAAGGGUGCGCAGGCGGAAGAUCAAGUCAGCGGUAAAAUUGAGAGGCUCAACCUCUUCGAGCCGUUGAAACUGGUUUUCUUGAGUGAGCGAGAAGUAUGCGGAAUGCGUGGUGUAGCGGUGAAAUGCAUAGAUAUCACGCAGAACUCCGAUUGCGAAGGCAGCAUACCGGCGCUCAACUGACGCUCAUGCACGAGAGUGUGGGUAUCGAACAGGAUUAGAUACCCUGGCAGUCCACACAGUAAACGAUGA
rnacentral:rRNA from 1 species